CCCUUAGAGUUUGAUCCUGGCUCAGAGUGAACGCUGGCGGCGUGGAUUAGGCAUGCAAGUCGAGCGAUCCUUGUUUGUCUUUAUUGGAGUGCUUGCACAAAGAUAAAGAUGAACGCUGGAUAGCGGCAAACGGGUUAGUAACACGUGAACAACCUUCCCUGAAGACGGGCAUAGCAUCGUGAAAACGGUGGUAAUUCCCGAUAGACCUCGAAAAUCGCAUGGUUUUCAUGGUAAAGGUGGGGACCUUCGGGCCCACUACUUUAGGAUGGGUUCGCGUCCUAUCAGCUUGUUGGCGGGGUAACGGCCCACCAAGGCUUUUGACGGGUAGCUGGUCUGAGAGGACGACCAGCAACACUGGGACUGAGACACUGCCCAGACUCCUACGGGAGGCUGCAGUCGAGAAUCUUUAGCAAUGGGCGAAAGCCUGACUAUGCGACGCCGCGUGCAGGAUGAAGGUCUUCGGAUUGUAAACUGCUUUUGUUAGGAAAGAACACUUCGGCAUAAAUAGUGCCGGAGCUGACGGUACCUAACGAAUAAGCCACGGCCAACUCCGUGCCAGCAGCCGCGGUAAUACGGAGGUGGCGAGCGUUACUCGGAAUCAUUGGGUGUAAAGGGCAAGUAGGCGGUCUGUUAAGUGAGGGGUGAAAGCUUCCGACUCAAUCGGGAAAUUGCCUUUCAAACUAUCAGACUUGAGGUUGGAAGGGGGAAAUGGAAUUAGCAGUGUAAGGGUGAAAUCUGUAGAUAUUGCUAAGAACACCGGCGGCGAAGCGAUUUCCUGGUCCAAAUCUGACGCUGAAUUGCGAAAGCUAGGGAGCAACAGAAUUAGAUACUCUGGUAGUCUAGCCGUAACGAUGAGCACUAGUGUGGUCUUCGGGAUCAGUGCCGCAGCUACGCAUAGUGCUCACUG
rnacentral:rRNA from 1 species